GUCUGUGGAGACACCAGUCUGAACAUCUCUGAUCUUGUCUGAUAUUGGAAACCAAGCAGGGAGGGGCAGGGCUGGUUAGCACCUGGAUAGGAGACAUGAGCCUCUGUGGCAUGGUCA
ensembl:rRNA 5S_rRNA 5S ribosomal RNA